rnacentral:misc_RNA from 1 species
GGAAGGAUCAUUAAAGGAAAAAAAAAACACAAAAAACAGGGGCCUAGGGGAACUUUAAAAAACUCCCCAAAGCUCUUGCCUUACUUUUGAAGCACUGCACCCACGACUUGGCGUGGUUCACCUUUCCCUUUUUACUAAGGGGGGGGGGGUGAGGUAGAUCAAACUUUGGCUUUCGGGAAAUUAGGAGGACGGUCUAAUUAAAGCUUAUGUGAAACCCUUUUUAAGUUAGGGGGAGUAGGGUCUGCUUAGUUUUACUUAACUUUUUUUCUGUGGUCAGGGUUUACAAAACCUACCAAAACAACCUAGAGGUCGUUAACUUAACCUUAAAACCCAUAUAUUUUUAACACACAUACUCUAUAAAAAUCUUAUGUACAACUUUUAACGGUGGAUGUCUCGGCUUUCGUAUCGAUGAAGAACGUAGCAAAGUGCGAUAAGUGAUGGAAAUUGCAGAAUACUUCGACUCAUCGAAUUUUUGAAUGCAACCUGCACCCGGGGUUAGUCCUCGGGUCUACCUAUUUGAGCUCGGUUAUAUCAUUAAAACAAAUCUUUUCUAUUAAGAAAGGGAUAUUGAGGUGUUAACCUUUGUUUUUUAACGGGGGUUAUCCCUUUAAAUGAACUUAAGGGGUACAAGUCUUCAGGGCUUCUCUUGAAUUUUUUACCUUAGCUUUACGUUUAAGCAUAUUGGGGUCAAAGAGUUCUAAGUAGGGGCCCCUAGGGGAUUUUGUUCUUACUUAAAAAAAACCAGAAACUAGUCCCUUUAGACAGGGCUAGAGAACCUAAAUCUUUUACACCGACUCAAAUUAGGUAGGAAUACCCGCUGAAUUUAAGCAUAUCAUUAGGCGGAGGAAAAGAAAUUAACAAAGAUUCCCCCAGUAAUGGCGAAUGAACAGGGAAAAGCUCACGCUGAAUCUGUGGAGACUAGCUUCUUUACCGAAAUGUAGCGUUCCAACUGGUCUUGUCGGAUGAUCUGGCAGCUGAAGUUCCCUGGAAAGGGACACCACUGAGGGUGACAGUCCCGUGAGCUGUUAAAGGUUAUUCGUACUAGUGGCCAGCUUGUAGAGUCGAGUUGUUUUGGAGUACAACUCUAAUCGGGUGAUAAACUUCAUCCAAAGCUAAAUAUUGACGAAAGACCGAUAGCGAACAAGUACCGUGAGGGAAAGGUGAAAAGAACUUUGAAAAGAGAGUUAAAAGUACCUGAAACCGUUAAAAGGUAAGCGAUCGGCACCAUCGUUUUACCGAACCUAUGAUUCAUCCGUAGAGCUUGUAGGGUUGUGGCUAAGGGAGUCUGUAAAAGGACCUCUUCUGUUGCUUCCUGAAUGGCUAUGCGGUGCACUUUGUGGGCUCUUUUUUGCGUCAGGGUCAUCUCUAGGGGGGAAAACAAGGGCUGCAUGGAGGUACCCAGCUUUUAGUUGGGGAUUCAACGUGUGGACACCUAUCCUCUCUAGGGAUGAGGGUCUUGAAAGGGAUAACAUUGCUGGUGGUAUUCUCGGCUAGGGUAUGGGGAGCCUCAAAAACUUCCCAAUUCGACGCCUGAAAUCAGUAUUGACUCUGACUUAGAUGGAAUCGAUCGUCCCGUCUUGAAACACGGACCAAGGAGUUUAAAUUGUGCGCGAGCUUUAGGGUACGAAAAACCCAAGAGCGUAAUGAAAGUGAAUAACGCCUGAAGGCUUCUGCGGGAGCAACUGCAAGGUGAACCGGCACCACCUUAUUAGAUGGUGUCCGAGUAAGAGUGUACAGUUUAAGACCCGAAAGGUGGCGAACUAUGCUUGUGUAGAGUGAAGCCAGAAGAAAUUCUGGUGGAGGCUCGUAGCGGUAUUGACGUGCAAAUCAUUCGUCAAACAUGGGUAUAGCGGCGAAAGACUAAUCGAGCCGCCUAGUAGCUGGUUCCUCU